GUAUAGUUUUUAUAGGCACAACAUUCUAUUAACAUACAUUGGGGUAAAUGAAGAAGCAACAUAGACCAUGAAAAAAAUAUCCAGGGUCUACAAAAGGUGCACAGGUGGAGACAUAAAGAUGACAAGGUGUGCACAUGCUCCCUAGAGAACCAGCAACAACCCAUCAGGUUUAUUUCAAUAAUGAUCCUUCCGCAGGUUCACCUACGGAAA
rnacentral:misc_RNA from 1 species